rnacentral:rRNA from 1 species
GUGGGCUGCGAUAGGGUGUUGGUUGUUGGGGGAGUUAUUUUCCUUGAUGGCCAAGCCCGACCUCCACUUUUUCACACUGUGCAUUAUAUGGCAAUGUUGGGGGUUUGAUUGUGUGUUACUAUUGGUUGUUUUACUGUGUUGAGAGGUGUUUUACAAUUCAAUUUGUAGCGUAUUUCUCAAUUCUAUGAUAUGACAUCUCGAGAAAGCACGCGACAAACUCCCAGAUUGCGGCUCAUUUUAAAACACCAGUCAAAGAAUGUAUUAACCAAAAAUUAAAGAAAAACUUUCAACAACGGAUCUCUUGGCUCUCGCAUCGAUGAAGAACGCAGCGAAAUGUGAUAAGUAAUGUGAAUUGCAGAAUUCAGUGAAUCAUCGAAUCUUUGAACGCACCUUGCGCUCUCUGGUAUUCCGGAGAGCCUGUCUGUUUGAGUGUCAUGAACUCUUCAACCCACCUGCUUUAUGAGCGGGAUGGCGUUUGGAUCCUGGGUGCUGCUGGCUGCGCAAGCGGCGAAUCUCACCCGUAAAUGAUUAGCAAUUCUAAUUCGACUUCCGGAUUGACUCGGCGUAAUAGACUAUUCGCUGAGGACACUCCUGCUUAGGCAGGGAGUGGCCGGAGACGGAACUGAAAGGCUUCGAACUCUGUGUGAUACUACACCACUUCUAUAUUAUUAUACACCUCAUCACGCGCGAGAACACCCUGUGAUUAUACAUAUAUCUAUACGGGAGAAGAAAAA